rnacentral:rRNA from 1 species
UACGGAGGGUGCGAGCGUUGUCCGGAAUCAUUGGGCGUAAAGCGCGCGCAGGCGGCACAUUAAGUAAGGUGUGAAAUAUCCCGGCUCAACCGGGAGGGUGCACUUUAGACUGAUGAGCUUGAGGUCGGUAGAGGGGGGUGGAAUUGCUGGUGUAGCGGUGAAAUGCGUAGAGAUCAGCAGGAACACCCGUGGCGAAGGCGGCCCCCUGGGCCGUACCUGACGCUGAGGCGCGAAGGCUAGGGGAGCGAACGGG